rnacentral:rRNA from 1 species
UACGGAGGGGGCUAGCGUUGUUCGGAAUUACUGGGCGUAAAGCGCGCGUAGGCGGCUUUGUAAGUUAGAGGUGAAAGCCCGGAGCUCAACUCCGGAACUGCCUUUAAGACUGCAUCGCUAGAAUUGUGGAGAGGUAAGUGGAAUUCCGAGUGUAGAGGUGAAAUUCGUAGAUAUUCGUAAGAACACCAGUGGCGAAGGCGACUUUCUGGCUCGAUACUGACGCUAAGGCGCGAAAGCGUGGGGAGCAAACAGG